rnacentral:rRNA from 1 species
AUGGAAUUGCCUCCCACUUAUCUAGGUUAUGAUGUUACGGUUCGUCAUCAGUUUAUUGAGAGGAAUGAAGAGCCUCUCCAAUACCGACUAAUGUUUGACAGGAGCCACAUUUUCCAUAUUGCUCUCCCUGCUCCUACUUUCUUUGACUUUCAGGCAAAAGGGAGAUAUAUUAUAACUAGGGAGGAGGCGAACGAGUAUAAGAGGAGAAAGGAAACAGCUCGUCUCCACUGCAGUGCCAAUACCAGAUACGAGAGCUACAUCAUCUGCACCAGCAGCAACAACUUAUGUGCCACCUCCAGCAGCCACUCCAUCAGCUCCAACUACAUCAACUGA